AAUCUAUUUUUCAUUGAUAUCUUUCUAUUUAAAAAUACUAGUGUCAAUAGGGUUACGGUCACGAUACCCAGACCACCUAUUUGAAUUAAUAAUAGUAUUACUAUUUCACCAAGUAUAUUAAACUGUGAUCCUAUAUCAACUGGGGAUAGGCCAGUAACUGUAAAUGCACUUGAAGCUAUAAAUAGGGCAUCUAAAAAAGAUAUUGGCUUUUUACCAGUGAAAGGUAAAUACAAUAAAAGUGCACCUAUGAUAGUUGUAGAGAAGAAAAGCAUUAAAUAAAAAUAUAAAGGUUUGUGGACUUUGUUCAUUUUAAUUUCAUACUCCUUUAUAUUAUAAAUUAAUAAUUAGAU
rnacentral:sRNA from 1 species